rnacentral:rRNA from 1 species
GACGAACGCUGGCGGCGUGCCUAAUACAUGCAAGUUGAGCGCUGAAGGUUGGUACUUGUACCAACUGGAUGAGCAGCGAACGGGUGAGUAACGCGUGGGGAAUCUGCCUUUGAGCGGGGGACAACAUUUGGAAACGAAUGCUAAUACCGCAUAAAAACUUUAAACACAAGUUUUAAGUUUGAAAGAUGCAAUUGCAUCACUCAAAGAUGAUCCCGCGUUGUAUUAGCUAGUUGGUGAGGUAAAGGCUCACCAAGGCGAUGAUACAUAGCCGACCUGAGAGGGUGAUCGGCCACAUUGGGACUGAGACACGGCCCAAACUCCUACGGGAGGCAGCAGUAGGGAAUCUUCGGCAAUGGACGAAAGUCUGACCCGAGCAAACGCCCGCGUGAGUGAAAGAAAGGUUUUUCG